rnacentral:rRNA from 1 species
AUUGAACGCUGGCGGCAUGCUUUACACAUGCAAGUCGAACGGCAGCGGGUCCUUCGGGAUGCCGGCGAGUGGCGAACGGGUGAGUAAUGCAUCGGAACGUACCCAGUCGUGGGGGAUAACGCAGCGAAAGUUGUGCUAAUACCGCAUACGACCUGAGGGUGAAAGUGGGGGACCGGUAACGGCCUCACGCGCUUGGAGCGGCCGAUGUCUGAUUAGCUAGUUGGUGGGGUAAAGGCCCACCAAGGCGACGAUCAGUAGCGGGUCUGAGAGGAUGAUCCGCCACACUGGGACUGAGAGAAGGGCCAGACUCCUACGGGAGGCAGCAGUAGGGAAUUUUGGACAAUGGGGGCAACCCUGAUCCAGCAAUGCCGCGUGCAGGAAGAAGGCCUUCGGGUUGUAAACUGCUUUUGUACGGAGCGAAAAGGUCUCCUCUAAUACAGGGGGCUCAUGACGGUACCGUAAGAAUAAGCACCGGCUAACUACGUGCCAGCCGCCGCCGUAACAC